UACGUAGGGUGCAAGCGUUGUCCGGAAUUAUUGGGCGUAAAGGGCGCGUAGGCGGCCAAGCAAGUUAGAUGUGAAAUCCCAGGGCUCAACCCCGGAAGUGCAUCUAAAACUGCUUAGCUUGAGUCCCGGAGAGGGUGGUGGAAUUCCCAGUGUAGAGGUGAAAUUCGUAGAUAUUGGGAGGAACACCGGUGGCGAAGGCGACCACCUGGACGGAGACUGACGCUGAGGCGCGAAAGCGUGGGGAGCAAACAGG
rnacentral:rRNA from 1 species